rnacentral:rRNA from 1 species
GCCUCACCGCGAGUACUGGCUCGGCCGGCCCUUUCCUCGCGGGGAACCCCAUGCCCUUCACUGGGUGUGCGGGCCAUCCGCGACUUUUACUGUGAAUAAAUCAGACUGUUCAAAGGAGGCCUUUGCUCGUAUGUCUUAGCAUGGAAUAAUGGAAUAGGACGCGCGUCCCUAUUUUGUUGGUUUCUAGGGACGCCGUAAUGAUUAAUAGGGAUGGUCGGGGGCAUCAGUAUUCAAUUGUCAGAGGUGAAAUUCUUGGAUUUAUUGAAGACUAACUACUGCGAAAGCAUUUGCCAGGGAUGUUUUCAUUAAUCAGUGAACGAAAGUUAGGGGAUCGAAGACGAUCAGAUACCGUCGUAGUCUUAACCGUAAACCAUGCCGACUAGGGAUCGGGCGAUGUUUCAUAAUGACUCGCUCGGCACCUUGCGAGAAAUCAAAGUAAGGUUCUGGGGGGAGUAUGGUCGCAAGGCUGAAACUUAAAGAAAUUGACGGAAGGGCACCACCAGGAGUGGAGCCUGCGGCUUAAUUUGACUCAACACGGGGAAACUCACCAGGUCCAGACACAAUAAGGAUUGACAGAUUUGAGAG